rnacentral:rRNA from 1 species
CAGUAGCCACGGUAAUACGUAGGUGGCAAGCGUUGUCCGGAAUUAUUGGGCGUAAAGGGCUCGCAGGCGGUUUCUUAAGUCUGAUGUGAAAGCCACCGGCUCAACCGGGGAGGGUCAUUGGAAACUGGGAAACUUGAGUGCAGAAGAGGAGAGUGGAAUUCCACGUGUAGCGGUGAAAUGCGUAGAGAUGUGGAGGAACACCAGUGGCGAAGGCGACUCUCUGGUCUGUAACUGACGCUGAGGAGCGAAAGCGUGGGGAGCGAACAGGAUUAGAGACCCCCGUAGUCCCUGUCUCUUAUAA